CCCGGGCAGAGGAGGCUGCCUUCACCGAGUCAUCCCCUUCUUUCUCAGUCUUGCCUAGCACCUCGAGGAAGGAAGAAACCACCUUCACCCUGAGUCUCAAGGUGAAGCUUCCACCAUUCCGGCACCCAGGAGCAGGCAGAGCCCCAGACUCUGGAAGGAGCUCUGCCACCCCGGGCUUUCCAGAAGACCUUUGGAGAUGAUCUCGCCCGCAUCAUCUUUCCCGUCUCAGGUGCCCUCAUCUCGGAGACGCUGUGGAGAGUACAGAGCAACCCAGUGUUCCCACAGCCUGUGGAAGAGGUUUCACAUCAAGGAAGCAGGCAGCAGGAGCCCCCAGCAUGCCGCGCCUGGCCGAGCAGCCAGGGGAACCCCAAGCCCACACCUCACGCUCCAAUGGCAACAACAAACGCAACUCCCGGAGGAACCAGCACAAAGCUCAGCAUCUGGGCUCCUCAGCCAAGCUCCGGAAGUGACUGUGAACACGUGCUCCCCCGAGACCCCAGGGCCUGCCCUCCUGCCUGCAACUGUGCCCCUAACAACAGAAACAAAACCCGUACAAGCCGCCGAUUAGCCUAGUCCCACAGAGGGCAUAUGAUUCUUCAGUUGGGUAGCAAAACUUCAUCCAUCCCAAGAGUUUCCAGCAAGCCAAGGAAGAUUAUGUACACCAGGAGAACCACUUGGUAUAGCCAAACACAUGCCCAGACAUCAAAGCAGCCCAGACUGCAGAUUGGUGCAAGUGGUGUGAACAGUGCCGGGCUCACAGAGAGAAGUCAACAAAUGUCUGCUGGAAGAAUAAGAGAAUGAAUGAACAAUGUUGUUCCUCUUGGAUUUCCCAGCUGGCUGGACUCCUGGGCAGGUCUUUGAAUUCGCCCUGCAGACCCCGUUGUGUUGCUUCCCUUGGCUCUUCAGAACAAAAGAGUAUACAAAAGUGCUUAUCCUUUUUGAUAGAAAUGGGUUGGAACAGUAUGGUUUUCACUUUGACUGGGGAGGCCUAGAAUGGUUUGCAAUCGAUUGUUUGUUUC
rnacentral:lncRNA from 1 species